GAUGAACGCUAGCUACAGGCUUAACACAUGCAAGUCGAGGGGAAACGACAUCGAAAGCUUGCUUUUGAUGGGCGUCGACCGGCGCACGGGUGAGUGACGCGUAUCCAACCUGCCCACCACUUGGGGAUAACCUUGCGAAAGUAAGACUAAUACCCAAUGAUAUCUCUAGAAGACAUCUGAAGGAGAUUAAAGAUUUAUCGGUGAUGGAUGGGGAUGCGUCUGAUUAGCUUGUUGGCGGGGUAACGGCCCACCAAGGCGACGAUCAGUAGGGGUUCAGGGAGGAAGGUCCGCCACAUUGGAACUGAGACACGGUGCAGACUCCUACGGGAGGCAGCAGUGGGGAAUUUUGGACAAUGGACGCAAGUCUGAUCCAGCCAUUCCGCGUGCAGGAUGAAGGCCCUCGGGUUGUAAACUGCUUUUGUACGGAACGAAAAGGUCUCUCUUAAUACGGGGGACUCAUGACGGUACCGUAAGAAUAAGCACCGGCUAACUACGUGCCAGCCGCCGCGGUAA
rnacentral:rRNA from 1 species